rnacentral:rRNA from 1 species
UGAGUACGAGCUGCUACGGCAGCGAAGUGGGUGACGUCAAGCUUCCAAGAAAAGCCCUACACCCGUUAAGGCAUGAUGGCCUGUACCCGAAACCGACACAGGUGGGGUGGUAGAGAAUACCGAGGGGCGCGAGGUAACUCUCUCUAAGGAACUCGGCAAAAUGGCCCCGUAACUUCGGGAGAAGGGGUGCCACCGCAAGGUGGUCGCAGUGAAGAGGCCCAGGCGACUGUUUACCAAAAACACAGGUCUCCGCUAAGUCGCAAGACGAUGUAUGGGGGCUGACGCCUGCCCAGUGCCGGAAGGUUAAGGAAGCUGGUCAGCGCAAGCGAAGCUGGCGACUGAAGCCCCGGUGAACGGCGGCCGUAACUAUAACAGUCCUAAGGUAGCGAAAUUCCUUGUCGGGUAAGUUCCGACCCGCACGAAAGGCGUAACGAUCUGGGCGCUGUCUCGGAGAGAGGCUCGGCGAAAUAGAAUUAUCUGUGAAGAUGCGGACUACGUGCACCCGGACAGAAAGACCCUAUGAAGCUUUACUGUAGCUUGGUAUUGUGCCCGGGCUCUGAAUGCGCAGGAUAGGUGGGAGGCUUUGAUCCAUUGCUUGUGGGUGAUGGUGAGCCAACGGUGAGAUACCACUCUUUCAGAGCUAGGGUUCUAACGGUCACCCGUUAUCCGGGGACCGGACAGUAUCAGGUGGGCAGUUUGACUGGGGCGGUCGCCUCCUAAAAGGUAACGGAGGCGCGCAAAGGUUCCCUCAGGCUGGUUGGAAAUCAGCCGAUGAGUGUAAAGGCAGAAGGGAGCUUGACUGUGAGACCUACAAGUCGAACAGGGACGAAAGUCGGCCUUAGUGAUCCGACGGUUCUGAGUGGAAGGGCCGUCGCUCAACGGAUAAAAGUUACUCUAGGAUAACAGGCUGAUCUCCCCCAAGAGUUCACAUCGACGGGGAGGUUUGGCACCUCGAUGUCGGCUCAUCGCAACCUGGGGCUGAAGUCGGUCCCAAGGGUUGGGCUGUUCGCCCAUUAAAGCGGUACGCGAGCUGGGUUCAGAACGUCGUGAGACAGUUCGGUCCAUAUCCGGUGCAUGCGCAGGAAUAUUGAGAGGAUUUCUCCCUAGUACGAGAGGACCGGGAGGAACGCACCUCUGGUGUACCAGUUAUCGUGCCAACGGUAAACGCUGGGUAGCCAUGUGCGGAGUGGAUAACCGCUGAAAGCAUCUAAGUGGGAAGCCCACCUCAAGAUGAGUAUUCCCAUGGCGUUAGCCAGUAAGGUCACGGGCAGAACACCCGUUGAUAGGCUCUACGUGGAAGCCGGGUAACCGGUGAAGCGGAGGAGUACUAAUAGACCGAGGGCUUGAC